GACAGAGGAUGCAAGCGUUAUCCGGAAUGAUUGGGCGUAAAGCGUCUGUAGGUGGCUUUUUUAAGUCCGCCGUCAAAUCCCAGGGCUCAACCCUGGACAGGCGGUGGAAACUACCAAGCUGGAGUACGGUAGGGGCAGAGGGAAUUUCCGGUGGAGCGGUGAAAUGCGUAGAGAUCGGGAGGAACACCUGUGGCGAAGGCGGCCAGCUGGGCCGGACCUGACGCUGAGACGCGAAGGCGUGGGGAGCGAACGGG
rnacentral:rRNA from 1 species